UUAAAACUCAAAAACACAUUUAAAAAAAAAAAAAAAAGAUUUAACAUGGUAAUAAAAUAUUUUGUGUCCAGGGGAUGGAGGGAGUUUAUUGAAGUCUUCUUGGGCUCACAUGACCAAAGAACUACAGACUCUUCACAACCUGCUCAAACUCUUGGUACAGGAUCUCACCACACGGGUCAAGAAGGUUUCCUUCUCCUCAUUUCUACUCUGAAGCUCACCUUCUCCUGCUCAAACUGCUGACAAAUGUUUCUGAUGCUCUAAAGUCUGGUCUCCAGAACUUCCUAAAAACUCUCAAAGUCUCUUCUGCUGCAGGUUGCUUUGUAGAACUGUUCCAGAAAACCUCACUAAACCACAUGGAGGGGCCUCAAGAUAGUCGUCCAAAUGAAACCGUACAAAAACCAAACUGGCACAACCCAAACGCUAAAGUCUCCUGCAGUCUACCAGAGAACCUCUUUAAACAGAGAAUCAGGACAGGAACUCUUACCUUCUGGACAACCAACGUGUGUAUGUGUCUGACCAAAAACCUCUAAAGACUCACUACAGCCAAGAUAAAGACAACUCAGCUGCACCAAAUCCACUAAUCACUGCAAACAUUAGCACCAUGUGCUAACUGUGGCUAAAGAACCACAUGUACCAAGACAAGUAUCCAGUACAAAGCCCUAAAACACACCAAGAAACACAUUAAAGCCUAUUUUACUGCUGGAAGCUGCAAGCUAACGCCUAAAGAACAAACUAAAGCAAUGGAGCCAAACCCGGUUCAGUGGUGAAGAGAAACAGAGUAAAUGUUUGAAUGCAGCUAAAUAAAGCAGGAAGACACAGAGCUGCUCAGGUGUUCCUGAUAACACCAAGCAGCCACCUGGACAGCCAAUAGGAACACAGCUUACUGGAAGUCCAGAGGGCUGGCUUAGUGAAGUAAAUUUAGUUUAAAGUUGAGGCAGAAAGUUAACAAAAAAAGUUGAAAACCACCUUCUGAUACCUGAAAUCUCUGAGUUUUCACACAAAGAACACCUGAACAUGUCAAACUGGUUCCAUAGUAGAACCAUCAUUGUAAAAACGUCAUAGUAUGGUGUGUUGCUCCAAAAACAUUAGGACCCGGCUGUCUAGGGUUGCAGAGGAGCAACACAAAAACAGGACAAACGCUGGUUUCCAGGGGGUUAGGAGGAUAUUUAUUUGAAAGAGUAUACAACAACACAACAUGUGAGCAGAAAAAUCACAAAGUCUGUCUUUAGUUCAACUGAAAAUAUUAGUUUUUGUCUUUUUUUAUUGACCAAACUUUUCAAGAAGUAGAUGAAGAAUAAUUAAAGCUCUCAUGUAGAAGUCCAACUUAUUUUGGAUCCUUGUGGAGAGUUUAAUCUUAGCAUUUGUAAAGCUGUUGAGUUUUUAGAGUCACAUGGAUUGUUUUGACAUUUAAUAACCGAGUCCUGAAAUAAAAUUAGUUGUAGAUUUCUGUCAUUUAGUCUGGACUAAACAAAUAACAGCAGCAUAAAUCUCAAACGUCAUUAUGAGGAGUCUGGACUGAGGUUUCUCACUUGAUAAUGAUCAAAACAUGAAAUUUAGGUUGAUUUAAAGGAAUAUUCCACCUUCAAUAUUUGAAUGUUGACCUAAAAGGUUGGUUUCAGGAAGUAUUCCACCUACAAGGUCCUCACACAUCCGCCUUAAAGGAACAUUCCACCAAAAAUCUUUGGACAUGCACCUAAAAUGUUGGUUUAACCGAGUAUUCCAUCCAAAAUCCUCAAAGAGACCUGAGGGGUUGGUUAAAAGCAAUAUUCCACCUCAAACCUCAAAUAUAGACCCGAAAGGGUGGUUUAGAAAAAAAUCCUUCAAUGUAGACCAAAAAAGUUAGUAUGGAUUCCACCUGAAAUGUAGACCUGAGAAGUUGGUUUGGAAGAAUAUACCAUCCUAAACAUCCUUACAUGUAGACUAAAAGAUGGUUUGGAAGAAAAUUCCACCUAAAAUACUCCAAUGUAGACCUAAAAAGUUCAUUCAAAGGAAUAUUCCACCUAAAAUUCUUCAAUGUAGACCAAAAAAUCUUGGUGUAAAGGAGUAUUCCACCUUAAAUGUAGACCUAAAGGAUGGUUUGGAGUAAUAUUCUACUCUAAAAUCUUCCAAUGUAGACCUAAAAGGUUUAUCUGAUGGUAUAUUCUACCCAACAUCCUGGAACAUUUACCUAAAAGGUUGGUUUAAUAGUAUAUUCCCAGAAGAACCCUUGAACAUUGGGCUUAAUGGUAUAUUCCACCCAAAAUACUUGUACAUAUUCCAAGAAGUCAGUG
ensembl:lncRNA